rnacentral:lncRNA from 1 species
AACACAGAAGUAUGCUUCAUCAGUCUCCUGAGCGAAUCCCAAAGCCAAUCAAAUUGUCACUGCACCUUAACAGUCACAAGAAGGAAGGAACAAAAAAUAGAAAUCAACAAAAGAAUUUUAAUCAUCUACAAUCCAUGUACAAGAUCUGAAACUCAAAGAACUACAUUUUACUAAUUUCAGAGAUCUGCUUUGAGAUGACUACAGCAAGGGUAUAUGGCUUGACAGGAAUUUCGUUAGAGAUCUUAACACAGCAGACUUCAUCUCAAGUGGUCACUUCCACAAAAGUGACCUUCAGAGCCUGUGAGAGCAAAUAAAGAUUGUUUUAGGAUGCUAAAUUGCAGGAGCACAGCUGCCCCCAGUUCAGAGGAGGUGAACAUUCCGG